GGGCGUGGCCGAUUCAACACUGCACAGCCGCACAGUCUUCCCAGCUGCAGCUCAUCUUCAUGAUUCACUUCUGCAAUACUUAAACCCGGGCUGAUCACCUCUUCGGUGCCAGUUCGUUGUCUACAACCCAUGUGUUCCCGCUCUGCCCUGCUGCCUCCUCUGCUUUGCCUGCCUGCUUCAAGCCUCACCAUCCAGCCUCUGUCUCCAACUUGGGAAACCCUCCAUGUUCUCGUCUCUGCCUGUUCCCCUCGUGUCCCAUAAUAACCUGGACUCUUCCCUGUCGGCUCGCCACAAGCCUCAGACCAGCCAGGAGUUUCACCACCCUGACACUACCUGCAGUGAUUCUCUGAGUACACUUUGCUCCAUUAAACCUUUUUCAACUGA